GGUCCGAUGGUGUAGUUGGUUAUUCACGUCAGUCUAACACACUGAAGGUCCCCAGAUCGAGCCUGGGUCGGAUCA
rnacentral:tRNA from 1 species